CACAGGUGUUCGGAGCAUGCUAGAUAGCUAAUUAGUACAGGUGGUCGGUCACCUCUUGGCUUCCAUCUGUUUUCCGUAAACAAGCGCUGUAACGUGGAGAUAUGCCCGUGUGGGAACACGUUAUCAAGGUAUACAGACAAGGAGGCGUGCAAAGGUACGUCAAUUGGUAUGUUAUGCAGAUCACAUUUACCAUCCUCAAACCUUACAUCUUCAACGAAUAUCCCAUAGGCCUCUACAUUAUGGACAAGGAAACCUGUUCAAUCACCAUGCACUGCAAAAUCAUUCUGGCUAUGGAUACGGAGAACAUCAACACAUUAACAUCAACACACCAGAGGAUAAACCCAUUGUUCUUGGGGCUCUGCUGGGAGUUUACCUCAUAUUUUGAUUUUUAUAUUCUGCUUUGACACUAAAACCAUAAUAAACACUGAAAACUAAAA